rnacentral:rRNA from 1 species
GACGAACGCUGGCGGCGCGCCUAACACAUGCAAGUCGAACGAGCGAGAGAGAGCUUGCUUUCUUGAGCGAGUGGCGAACGGGUGAGUAACGCGUGAGGAACCUGCCUCAAAGAGGAGGACAACAGUUGGAAACGACUGCUAAUACCGCAUAAGCCCACGGUGCCGCAUGGCACAGAGGGAAAAGGAGCAAUCCGCUUUGAGAUGGCCUCGCGUCCGAUUAGCUAGUUGGUGAGGUAACGGCCCACCAAGGCGACGAUCGGUAGCCGGACUGAGAGGUUGAACGGCCACAUUGGGACUGAGACACGGCCCAGACUCCUACGGGAGGCAGCAGUGGGGAAUAUUGCACAAUGGGGGAAACCCUGAUGCAGCGACGCCGCGUGGAGGAAGAAGGUCUUCGGAUUGUAAACUCCUGUUGUUGGGGAAGAUAAUGACGGUACCCAACAAGGAAGUGACGGCUAACUACGUG